AGCGAACGCUGGCGGCAGGCCUAACACAUGCAAGUCGAACGAACCCUUCGGGGUUAGUGGCGGACGGGUGAGUAACACGUGGGAACGUGCCUUUAGGUUCGGAAUAACUCAGGGAAACUUGUGCUAAUACCGAAUGUGCCCUUCGGGGGAAAGAUUUAUCGCCUUUAGAGCGGCCCGCGUCUGAUUAGCUAGUUGGUGAGGUAAUGGCUCACCAAGGCUACGAUCAGUAGCUGGUCUGAGAGGAUGACCAGCCACAUUGGGACUGAGACACGGCCCAAACUCCUACGGGAGGCAGCAGUGGGGAAUCUUGCGCAAUGAGCGAAAGCCUGACGCAGCCAUGCCGCGUGGAUGAUGAAGGUCUUAGGAUUGUAAAUUCCUUUCACCGGUGAAGAUAAUGACUGUAGCCGGAGAAGAAGCCCCGGCUAACUUCGUGCCAGCCGCCGCAGUAACAC
rnacentral:rRNA from 1 species